GUACCAUGAAAUCCCUACCAACAAAGACAGGAGCAGGUAAAAUAUAACUUUUUACAAGCUUGUUCUACAGCAAGAUCACAAGAAUCAUUUAUUAUUUAGGCAACAUCUUGCGCUGUGCAGUGGCCAGAUUUUCUUAUUCAAAUAGCUAGACACAAUAUCUAAACCCCACUAGAAUCUAAAUGAGACUUAGAAGCUUUUGAGUUUUAAGCUUAGCAAUGG
rnacentral:misc_RNA from 1 species